UCUAAGGAUGAGUGAAAGUAAAAUUUCACUCUAAAUAAUAUACAUCGGUAAUGUUGACCGUCCUCAUUUCUCUUCUUAAAGUAAUGUUUCCUUCUUGUAGGGCCGGUAGCUCAGUUGGUUAGAGCACACCCUUGAUAAGGGUGGGGUCGAAAGUUCGAGUCUUUCUCGGCCCACCAAACUUAAAUGGGGGAUUAGCUCAUCUGGGAGAGCGCCUGAUUUGCAUUCAGGAGGUAGCAGGUUCGAUCCCUGUAUCCUCCACCAGGAAACAUUUAGUUAUUAAAACUGUAAAUAAAAAUAAUUUAUAUCAAUAUCUAUAUCCGAACAUUAAAAGUUAUUAUUUAAUGUUCAAAAUAAAAAUUUGAUCACAACACAGAAAGAAUUUUUUUCUGUGCAUAAAU
rnacentral:tRNA from 1 species